rnacentral:rRNA from 1 species
GGCCAAGUUUUUAAGGGCGCACGGUGGAUGCCUUGGCACCAGGAACCGAUGAAGGACGUGGGAGGCCACGAUAGUCCCCGGGGAGUUGUCAACCAAGCUGUGAUCCGGGGGUUUCCGAAUGGGGAAACCCGGCAGUCGUUAUGGGCUGUCACCUACCGCUGAAUGUAUAGGCGGUGUGGAGGGAACGCGGGGAAGUGAAACAUCUCAGUACCCGCAGGAAGAGAAAACAAGAGUGAUUCCGGGAGUAGUGGCGAGCGAAACCGGA